rnacentral:rRNA from 1 species
UACGAAGGGUGCAAGCGUUAAUCGGAAUUACUGGGCGUAAAGCGCGUGUAGGCGGGAAAGCAAGUCUGAUGUGAAAGCCCCGGGCUUAACCUGGGAAGUGCAUUGGAAACUGUUUUUCUUUGAGUACUGGAGAGGAAGGGAGAAUUCCCGGUGUAGAGGUGAAAUUCGUAGAGAUCGGGAGGAGCACCAGUGGCGAAGGCGCCCUUCUGGACGGUUACUGACGCUGAGACGCGAAAGCGUGGGGAGCAAACAGGAUUAGAUACCCCAGUAGU